CCUACGGGUGGCAGCAGUCGAGAAUCAUUCACAAUGGGGGAAACCCUGAUGGUGCGACGCCGCGUGGGGGAAUGAAGGUCUUCGGAUUGUAAACCCCUGUCAUGUGGGAGCAAAUUAAAAAGAUAGUACCACAAGAGGAAGAGACGGCUAACACUGUGCCAGCAGCGGCGGUAAUACAGAGGUCUCAAGCGUUGUUCGGAAUCACUGGGCGUAAAGCGUGCGGAGGAUGUUUGGUAAGUCGUGUGUGAAAGGCGGGGGCUCAACCCGCGGACGGCCGAUGAUACUGCGAGACUAGAGUAAUGGAGGGGGAAGCGGAAUGCGCGGUGUAGCAGUGAAAUGCGUAGAUAUCGAGAAGAACACUCGUGGCGAAGGCAGGUUCCUGGACAUUAACUGACGCUGAGGCACGAAGGCCAUGGGAGCGAAAGGGAUUAGAUACCCCGGUAGUC
rnacentral:rRNA from 1 species